CAGACGCUAGAGUUAGAUCCUGGCUCAGACGAUCGUAGCAUUGCUACCAUGUUUCGUCGGCGGACGGGUGAGUAAUGCCUAGGAAUCUGCCUGGUAGUGGGGGAUAACGUUUCGAAAGGAACGCUAAUACCGCAUACGUCCUACGGGAGAAAGUGGGGGAUCUUCGGACCUCACGCUAUCAGAUGAGCCUAGGUCGGAUUAGCUAGUUGGUGGGGUAAUGGCCCACCAAGGCGACGAUCCGUAACUGGUCUGAGAGGAUGAUCAGUCACACUGGAACUGAGACACGGUCCAGACUCCUACGGGAGGCAGCAGUGGGGAAUAUUGGACAAUGGGCGAAAGCCUGAUCCAGCCAUGCCGCGUGUGUGAAGAAGGUCUUCGGAUUGUAAAGCACUUUAAGUUGGGAGGAAGGGCAGUAAGUUAAUACCUUGCUGUUUUGACGUUACCAACAGAAUAAGCACCGGCUAACUUCGUGCCAGCAGCCGCGGUAAUACGAAGGGUGCAAGCGUUAAUCGGAAUUACUGGGCGUAAAGCGCGCGUAGGUGGUUCAGCAAGUUGGAUGUGAAAGCCCCGGGCUCAACCUGGGAAUUGCAUCCAAAACUACUGAGCUAGAGUACGGUAGAGGGUGGUGGAAUUUCCUGUGUAGCGGUGAAAUGCGUAGAUAUAGGAAGGAACACCAGUGGCGAAGGCGACCACCUGGACUGAUACUGACACUGAGGUGCAAAGCGUGGGAGCAAACAGGAUAGAUACCCUGGACCACGCCGUAAACGAUGUCGACUAGCCGUUGGGAUCCUUGAGAUCUUAGUGGCGCAGCUAACGCGAUAAGUCGACCGCCUGGGGAGUACGGCCGCAAGGUUAAAACUCAAAUGAAUUGACGGGGGCCCGCACAAGCGGUGGAGCAUGUGGUUUAAUUCGAAGCAACGCGAAGAACCUUACCUGGCCUUGACAUGCAGAGAACUUUCCAGAGAUGGAUUGGUGCCUUCGGGAACUCUGACACAGGUGCUGCAUGGCUGUCGUCAGCUCGUGUCGUGAGAUGUUGGGUUAAGUCCCGUAACGAGCGCAACCCUUGUCCUUAGUUACCAGCACCUCGGGUGGGCACUCUAAGGAGACUGCCGGUGACAAACCGGAGGAAGGUGGGGAUGACGUCAAGUCAUCAUGGCCCUUACGGCCAGGGCUACACACGUGCUACAAUGGUCGGUACAAAGGGUUGCCAAGCCGCGAGGUGGAGCUAAUCCCAUAAAACCGAUCGUAGUCCGGAUCGCAGUCUGCAACUCGACUGCGUGAAGUCGGAAUCGUUAGUAAUCGUGAAUCAGAAUGUCGCGGUGAAUACGUAGCCGUACAUUGUGCUCCCCGCUCAUUAAGUCGUAACAAGGUAGCCGUAGAGUUUGAUCCAGGCUCAGUAAGUCGUAACAAGGUAGCCGUAGAGUUUG
rnacentral:rRNA from 1 species